GUCGGAAUUCUGGCUGUUCUAAUUUCUCGACAAACAUAUGAUUAGGGCCUAAAAGCCAACUGUCAAAAUCCACUUUGAAUGGAAAUUCCCGACAAACCGUUACACGCCAAUCACAGAUGUUGGUAGUAAACGAAAGAGAAAAGUUUUCUCUUUCAUAAACUGUUGUGAACUGUGUUCGACUAGUAACGGUUUGCCUGGAAUUUCCAUUCAAAGUGGAUUUUGACAGUUGGCUUUUAGGCCGUAAUCAUAUGUUUGUCGAGAUUUGUAUAUACGAAUAAAUUAUUUAAAUUUUAAAAUAAUUUAAUAAUAAUUUAAAUAAUAAAAAAUAUUAAUAAAAAUAUUUUUUUAAUAAUAAAUUUUAAUUUAAUUAAUAAUAUAAAAAUUCAAUAAAAUAAUUAAUUUAAUAAAAAUUAAAAAUUGUAACGGACAACUGAGUAAACAACCUAAAAAAUGGUUAUUUUCAACCAUAAUCAGAUUCGCUUCAACCGAGGGGACCGACACUCCGUGAUUUGGUGAUGAAAUGAAGUAAUUUAUAAUUCUACACACAAAAAAAUUUGUGAAGUUUAUUUCAACAAAAACCAUUGUAACUGAACAACCUACUAAUAAUGAUUGCAGUAAACCAGAAAAAUAUUCAUGCUAAACAAAACUUUUUGUUAAAAGAAUCCAAAUAUAUUGGUUAAAAUUUCAACAAAUUUUCUUGUUAAAUCUAAUGAUAAGAUUGUUGAUGUAAUCGUUUGAACUUUUCAUUUCGAUAUCGUUUUCUACUUUGUUUUGACAACUUUAGAGUGAGCAAUACCCACACAACUUUUCCAGUGAACGGCGAUUCGAUAACGAGUAGCGAAAGGAAACCUUCUACAUGCCGGCAUGUAUUUUCCAACACUGGGAAAAAUCAAUUUGCUUCAAUCUGCUUUAGAUCGUUACAUUUGACUGUGUGUUUUAAAAUGUCAACUCAAGGAAAGCGAUUUUUUCACCCGGGUUAAUUUGUCCGGCUUUCGGGACGAAUUUUGUUCAUACUUUUAGUUAUAGCUUUUGGCUUUUCAAGUUGCCAAACUUACAACAAUUAAGAGAAAGCUGGACCGCGGAUAUUUAUACACAUAUUCCCAAAUUGGUUGGAUGGAAAUUAUCGCCUUUAACUCGCAUUUCUAUAUCUGUUGACCGGACCGGAGCCGAUAUUACAACGUGAACCCAAAAAAAGCAGAUUACAGCGUUGGGCCACAAGUGGAGAAAAAUUCAGUGCGUCGUGUUCUGACAGGAUUGUGAGCUUGACGAUAUGGAAUAUGAAACAUUCACGCCGCAAAAAAGAUAUAUCAUAUCUGUGUUCGGAGCAUAAUUGAAAGUGGUCAAAAUCCAUCAGCAGCAAAAAAAUCUAAUUCUUUUUCUCAGGCCAUGGUGAUCAUAUGUUCUUAGCGGCAUAAAAACUUUAAAUGUAUGUUGAAAUUGUCUAGGUUAUGAUUUUAUUUGGAAUUGGGCGACGUCUAUUGAUAUUUGCAGAACACGUUUCGGUGUUCUCUUCAACGUUUUGCCUUUUUUUAUCUAGAUUAAUAUAGUCGAAACGUUGGAGAGAACAUCAAAGUCUGUGCUGAAAAUACCCUAGAUUGGCGACCGCAAUUUCAAAUAAAAUUGUAUUUAUGUCGCAAAUAAAUGUUUAUUUAAUAAAUCGGAUUAUUAUGUCAAA